GAUGAAGAACGCAGCGAAAUGCGAUAAGUAAUGUGAAUUGCAGAAUUCAGUGAAUCAUCGAAUCUUUGAACGCACCUUGCGCUCGUCGGUAUUCCGACGAGCAUGCCUGUUUGAGUGUCAUUAAAUUCUCAACCUCAUCGCUUUUGUGAUGAUGGCUUGGAUGUGGAGGUUUUCUGCAGGCCGAAAGGUCUGCUCCUCUCAAAUGAAUUAGUGGGUGCCCCGCGCAAACCUAUCUAUUGGUGUGAUAAUUAUCUACGCCGUGGAUCUUAGGAUUGCUGUAAAAAGGUGUUUGCCCCGCUUCUAACCGUCGACAGACAACUUGAACCAUUUGACCUCAAAUCAGGUAGGACUACCCGCUGAACUUAAGCAUAUCAAUAAGCGGAGGA
rnacentral:misc_RNA from 1 species